CUAAGGACCUAAUUUGGCUCGAUGGUUUGAGCUCGAUUCGCUAGAGUGGUCAAUUCAUGUCUAAGACAAGUUAAUGAAAUAUGGUUAUUUAAUUGGUUUCGUUCAUUUACCUGAUCAAUUUAUUGGUAUCUAAAAAAAGUAACAAUGGGAUCCCCACCGAUCUCCACUUACGUGGUCAAUUUGGAAGUUGGGUCUUCAAUAAGAUUACUUAGUAUUUUGGUUUAGCCCAUGCCAGU
rnacentral:lncRNA from 1 species